CACCACAGGUCACCGCGAUGGGGGAUCCUUAGCCCACUGAUUGAGGCAGGGAUCGAACUUGCAUCCUCACAGAUACCGGUGGGGUCCGUGACCACUGAGCCAUGACAGGAACUCCCAGGGAUGGAACUCCUGCCGCGUUUGUGGUUCGUGCCACAGCUACAGCAAUGCCAGAUCCUUAGCCUGCUAAGCCGCGAGGGAACUCCCAAGCCGAAUGGUUUUGAACUAGGGAAUGCCCGUGCCCUCUGGGUGGCCCUGUGUCACGGGUCUCGCAGCCCGAGCAUGGCUCCACGGGGCCGCGAGCGAGUGGGGGCGUGCGUCCCGCCUCCUUACCUGUGCCUUGCCCUCGCGACCAGGAGGACGAGCGGUGGGGAGACGCCAGCAACGACGAGGACGACGCGAAGGAGCGGGCCCUGCCCGAGGACCCCGAGACCUGCCUGCAGCUGAACAUGGUCUACCAGGAGGUGGUCCGCGAGAAGCUGGCCGAGGUCAGCCUGCUGCUGGCCCAGAACCGCGAGCAGCAGGUAGGACCGGCCUCGGCCCCCGUCUCUGCGGGGAGUCGCUGCUACCUGGCCCACGGGUGGUCCUUGUGUCCCGCAGGAGGAGGUCUCGUGGGCCCUGGCGGGGUCCGGAGGCCGCAGGGUGAAGGACGGCCGGAGCCCGCCCGCGCGCCUGUACGUGGGGCACUUCAUGAAGCCCUACUUCAAGGACAAGGUCACCGGGGCGGGGCCUCCUGCCAACGAGGACACGCGGGAGAAGGCCGCCCAGGGCGUCAAGGCCUUCGAGGAGCUUCUGGUGACCAAGUGUAAGAGCCUGGCCCUGCCUCUCGCUCCCAGCCCAGUGGCCCCAUGGGCUACUCCGGGCUUUGACUGCCGGGCCCGUCCCCUCGGGCCAGGGUGGGGCCGCCACCCCGCAGCUCACUGCCUCACUGCCGUCUCUCUUGCCUCAUUGCUGAGCGUCCGGGAUGCCCCGUGCGUGCACGUAGCUGGUGCCAGGCCCAGGGGGACGGAGGGCACGGUGGCCUUGACGGUGUGCGGGGGUCGCCAAGAGGGUUCCGCCGCGGCGCAGGCGUCUCGGUGGGCCCCGUGCCGACGCCCUCUGUCUCCUCAGGGAAGAGCUGGGAGAAGGCCCUGCUCCGGAAGGCCGUGGUGAGCGACCGCCUGCAGCGCCUGCUUCAGCCCAAGUUACUGAAGUACGUACGUCCAGGUGCGGGGGGCGCAGGGGACGUGGCUGCCCGCCGAGCAGGGCCUCCGUCCGCCCUGCGCCCGCUGCUUCCUGAGCUCCAUCCGGAGGGGCGGCCAGGGCCCCGGGUCGGGCGUGGAGGAGCCGGCCGGGCUUGCCGUCGUGCAGCCCGUGUGGGCCCUCUGGUCUGGGCCUCCGUUUCCCCUCUGCCGUGAGCGAGGCCCGGCCCCCAGGCUCAGGCCGGGGGUUUCACGUGUGGGCCAGGCUUGGUCGUGAGGGUCGCGUCGCCUCUCGGCCGGGGGGCACCUGGGCUUUCUUCUGGGCCCGUUCUGGAAGCUGCAGCCGUAAGCAGCGGCGUCUGGCCUCAUCGCUGGGCAUGGGAGUCAGGGUAUCUGUGGCACGCCUGGCGGUGGGGGCGCAGGCCUGAGCGGAGCCGUGGGGACACGGACCACCGCCGCCCACCCACGUCCACGCCAGCCUCCCACGCGGGCGUCCUGCCGCCCGCUCUGGGCGAGGAGGCCAGGCCCUGCGGAGGGUGGGUGAUGUGUCCGCAGGGGGCAGUGGCCCGGAGUGGGGUGCGUGCCAGAUCCGUGGAGAGGCUGCGGCGCCCACCGGGCACGGCGUCCCCUUCGGUGGCCUCAGUGCGUCUCUGCCUUUCAGGCUGGAGUACCUGCAGCAGAAGCAGAGCAGGGCGACGAGUGACGCGGAGAGGCAGGCCCUGGAGAAGCAGGUCCGCGAGGCCGAGAAGGAGGUGCAGGACAUCAGGUGAGGGGGCCCCGCGGAGGGCGGCGCCCGGGAGAGCCAGCACCCGGCCUGACCCGCCGCCUCGUCCUUUCCCAGCCAGCUGCCAGAGGAGGCCUUGCUCGGCCACAGGCUGGACAGCCACGACUGGGAGAAGAUUGCCAACGUGAACGUGAGU
rnacentral:lncRNA from 1 species